rnacentral:rRNA from 1 species
AUUGAACGCUGGCGGCAUGCUUUACACAUGCAAGUCGAACGGCAGCGCGGGCUUCGGCCUGGCGGCGAGUGGCGAACGGGUGAGUAAUACAUCGGAACGUGCCCAGUAGUUGGGGAUAGCUCGGCGAAAGCCGGAUUAAUACCGCAUACGACCUGAGGGUGAAAGCGGGGGAUCUUCGGACCUCGCGCUAUUGGAGCGGCCGAUGGCAGAUUAGCUAGUUGGUGGGGUAAAGGCCUACCAAGGCGACGAUCUGUAGCUGGUCUGAGAGGACGACCAGCCACACUGGAACUGAGACACGGCCCAGACUCCUACGGGAGGCAGCAGUGGGGAAUUUUGGACAAUGGGCGAAAGCCUGAUCCAGCAAUGCCGCGUGUGUGAUGAAGGCCUUCGGGUUGUAAAGCACUUUUGGCGGGAACGAAAAGGACUGUGCCAAUACCACGGUUCGAUGACGGUACCCGCAGAAUAAGCACCGGCUAACUACGUG